rnacentral:sRNA from 1 species
ACUUCCUAGACUCUUCCUCCUUCUCUUAAGUACGGGAUAGUUCUUUCUCUGAAAAUCUUCAGUCUUUUAGUUCCAGAUGGGUUCUCUGUGGUAAGAAUACAGGACAUGUAGAAGGCCCUAGGGGAAUGCUUUCUUCCCCAGAUCUUUGCCCUGUAGUAGGUUUCAGCUGAGCAAGGAUGAGUAGUUUUUCUGGUGUUUGGCCUCCUCUGUUGGGUGGAAAAAGCCUUUCUUCUCUAUUUUCAUAGUUAUAUAUGCUAUCAUAUGUCUGUUUUUCUCCUCUUGAAGUUUCCCUGAAACCUGGGCUCUUGAAGACGCAUCACUGGAGCAGAUGGAUAAUGGAGACUGGGGCUAUAUGGUGGACACUUGUAUACAACGUCUCUCACCACAUUGACGCGUUACCCGGAUUCCAUGCUUGGAGCUAUGUUUGGGGGGGACUUCCCCACAGCUCGAGACCCUCAAGGCAAUUACUUUAUU